rnacentral:rRNA from 1 species
AAUCAACGCUGGCGGCGUGCCUCAGACAUGCAAGUCGAACGAGAAAGUUCCCUUCGGGGAAUGAGUAAAGUGGCGCACGGGUGAGUAACACGUAGGUAAUCUACCUUCGGGUGGGGAAUAACCCAGGGAAACUUGGGCUAACACCGCAUAAUGCAGCGGCACCACAUGGUGACAGUUGUUAAAGCGGGGGGAUUUUUAGGACCUCGCGCCUGAAGAGGAGCCUGCGGCGGAUUAGCNGUUGGUAAGGUAACGGCUUACCAAGGCGACGAUCCGUAGCCGGCCUGAGAGGGGCGGUCGGCCACACUGACACUGACAUAC